UGGGGAAUAUUGGUCAAUGGGCGGGAGCCUGAACCAGCCAAGCCGCGUGAGGGAUGAAGGCCCUAUGGGUCGUAAACCUCUUUUGUCAGGGAACAAAAGCGAGUAUGUAUACUAGUCUGAGUGUACCUGAAGAAAAAGCAUCGGCUAACUCCGUGCCAGCAGCCGCGGUAAUACGGAGGAUGCGAGCGUUAUCCGGAUUUAUUGGGUUUAAAGGGUGCGUAGGCGGCGAUGCAAGUCAGCGGUAAAAGCCCGGGGCUCAACCCCGGCGAGCCGUUGAAACUGCAGUGCUAGAGAAGGCGAGAGGUACGCGGAAUGCGCAGUGUAGCGGUGAAAUGCUUAGAUAUUGCGCAGAACUCCGAUUGCGAAGGCAGCGUACUGGCGCCUGACUGACGCUGAGGCACGAAAGCGUGGGGGAUCGAACAGGAUUAGAUACC
rnacentral:rRNA from 1 species